UGAGGAAUAUUGGUCAAUGGACGCAAGUCUGAACCAGCCAAGUAGCGUGCAGGAUGACGGCCCUAUGGGUUGUAAACUGCUUUUAUAUGGGGAUAAAGUGGGGAACGUGUCAUGCAUUGCAGGUACCACAUGAAUAAGGACCGGCUAAUUCCGUGCCAGCAGCCGCGGUAAUACGGAAGGUCCGGGCGUUAUCCGGAUUUAUUGGGUUUAAAGGGAGCGUAGGCUGUCUAUUAAGCGUGUUGUGAAAUAUACCGGCUCAACCGGUGGCUUGCAGCGCGAACUGGUCGACUUGAGUAUGCAGGAAGUAGGCGGAAUUCAUGGUGUAGCGGUGAAAUGCUUAGAUAUCAUGACGAACUCCGAUUGCGCAGGCAGCUUACUGUAGCAUAACUGACGCUGAUGCUCGAAAGUGCGGGUAUCAAACAGG
rnacentral:rRNA from 1 species